CCCCCCCGACGGAACCCACCUUGCCGUGGUGGGGGGGCUCACAGGCCAAAUGGCCCGUGCUAAGAGGUUC
rnacentral:ribozyme from 1 species